rnacentral:rRNA from 1 species
GGGCCCCCCGUCAAUUUCUUUGAGUUUCAGCCUUGCGACCGUACUCCCCAGGCGGGGUACUUAACGCGUUAACUACAGCACCGAAGUCAAGCCUCCGACACUUAGUACCCAUCGUUUACGGCGUGGACUACCAGGGUAUCUAAUCCUGUUUGCUCCCCACGCUUUCGCUCCUCAGUGUCAGUAAUAGUCCAGGAAGUCGCCUUCGCCACCGGUGUUCCUUCUGAUCUCUACGGAUUUCACUCCUACACCAGAAAUUCCACUUCCCUCUCCUAUACUCUAGCGAUGCAGUAUCAAGUGCAAUUCCACGGUUGAGCCGUGGGCUUUCACACCUGACUUACAAAGCCACCUACGAGCGCUUUACGCCCAGUGAUUCCGAUUAACGCUUGCACCUUCAGUAUUACCGCGGCUGCUGGCACUGAAUUAGCCGGUGCUUCCUCUAGAGGUACCGUCAAUUGCUAAMAGUAUUAUUCUUAACAGGUUUCUUCCCUCUUGACAGGAGUUUACGAUCCGAAAACCUUCAUCCUCCACGCGGCGUCGCUGCGUCAGACUUUCGUCCAUUGCGCAAUAUUCCCCACUGCUGCCUCCCGUAGAGUCUGGGCCGUGUUCCAGUCCCAGUGUGGCAGGCCACCCUCUCAGGCCUGCUAUUCAUCGUUGCCACGGUAGGCCGUUACCCCACCGUCUAGCUAAUGAAACGCGGACUCAUCUACUGGCGAGAGCUUUCAGAAGAGGCCCCCUUUCCCGUUUCCAGCGUAUACGGUAUUAGCAGUCGUUUCCAACUGUUGUCCCGUACCAAUAGGUAGAUUAUCCACGCGUUACUCACCCGUGCGCCA